AGACGGACUUCUGGAGAGACCUAUAAGUAGCAACAUCUUUGUAUUGACACCAAGAUGUGCUCUAGGCGCCGAAGGGGCAAGAAGAGUAAAACAACUCCUCCAAUCUCUCAGGCAAAAGGACAGAAGCUAAAAG
rnacentral:ncRNA from 20 species